rnacentral:rRNA from 1 species
UUUCCGGUUGAUCCUGCCGGACCUGACUGCUAUCAGAGUGGGACUAAGCCAUGCGAGUCGAACGCUCUUCAACCAUGUGAGGGGCGUGGCAGACGGCUCAGUAACACGUAGCCAACCUGCCCUGGAGACAAGGAUAACCCCGGGAAACUGGGACUAAUCCACUAUAGACCAAGAUUCCUGGAACGGGUCUUGGUUGAAAUGGGAGGGCAAGCAUGUUUGCCAACCUGCUCUAGGAUGGGGCUGCGGCCGAUCAGGUUGUUGGUGGAGUAAUGGUCCACCAAGCCUAUAACCGGUACGGGCUUUGAGAGAAGGAGCCCGGAGAUGGACACUGAGACAAGGGUCCAGGCCCUACGGGGCGCAGCAGGCGCGAAAACUCCGCAAUGUGCGAAAGCGCGACGGGGCUACUCUGAGUGCCGUCCGCUGAGGAUGGUUUUUCCUAGGUCUAAAUAGCCUUGGGAAUAAGGGGAGGGCAAGCCUGGUGUCAGCCGCCGCGGUAAUACCAGCUCCCCGAGUGGUCAGGACGUUUAUUGGGCCUAAAGCAUCCGUAGCCGGCUCUGUAGGUCUCCCGUUAAAUUCAACGGCUCAACCGUUGAGCUGCCGGAGAUACCGCAGAGCUAGGAGGCGGGAGAGGCGGAUGGUACUCCGUGGGUAGGGGUAAAAUCCUUUGAUCCAUGGAAGACCACCAGUGGCGAAGGCGGUCCGCCAGAACGUGCUCGACGGUGAGGGAUGAAAGCUGGGGGAGCGAACCGGAUUAGAUACCCGGGUAGUCCCAGCUGUAAACGAUGCGAGCUAGGUGAUGGAGUGACUGCGUGUUACUCCAGUGCCGCAGGGAAGCCGUUAAGCUCGCCGCCUGGGGAGUACGGUCGCAAGACUGAAACUUAAAGGAAUUGGCGGGGGAGCACCACAAGGGGUGAAGCCUGCGGUUCAAUUGGAGUCAACGCCGGG